UUGACCAAAUGUUGAAUAAAUUUGUUGAGUAAGACACACAAGAUACCCAGAUGAAUUAGGGCUUCUAAGGCAAACAAGCUUCAAACUCUUGAUGAAUUCUUGAUCAAAAUGACAAAUAAAGAACAUGGGGAUCCAUAUAUGAUACUUAGAAACAUUGUGAACCUUUGAUAACUUGAUCCCUUACACUGAGGGUCUCAAAACCUAGAUAUGAGCUUGAUAAGGCACAGGGGGAUGCACACACUACUUAUAAAAGAAAUGAAACUACACCAGGCAUAUUUUUGGAUUUUGGUUAGUUAAAUAAAGAGAAAAGAAAGUAUGAUACAAUCACAAAUGCUUGGUGAUCUCUCCCAAUGUAAUCCCAAUGAAUGAGGGGUGAGGAGGAUACCAAGGUGUGAUCCCAAAGCCAAUGCAAAUGAUGAGAUGGCAUGAGGGGUCUUAGGGUUAAAAUUGGGGUGUUACACCCUCUCUCAAGGAAGAAAGAGAAAGAGGGAAAAUCAUAAGAGUCACCAGUGAAUUUUAUUUGGAUUCGUCUAUCAGAGAGGAGAGGGGAAAUAGUUGAUAAAACCCUCGAAAAUAGAAAGGUGUGCACCAGAAGCGUAGAGGUACGAAUAAAGAAUCGGUCUUGCAACCGCGACUUCAAUUUGGAAGUCGGUUACGCAAGGGGAAGGUAUUAGCACCCCUCAUAUACAUGGUACUCCAAGGGAACCAUUUGGUUUGUCUACACAUGUGGGUAUUGAUCUCGCUUAUUUCUAUUUAUUCUUAUUUGCAAAAAUGAGUGUGAAAGAGAGGGCUUUGGGUUUUUUAUUAUUGUGCUCGCCAAGGAUUAUGGCCUUUAUGCCUAUGUAUCAGUCAUCGGGUAAUGAUGAAUCAGAGCUCCGUACUUUGGAGUAGAAAAUUUGUAUGUGUUGGUUGAUUUUACCUUUGAGAAAAGGGUUUUCAGAGUGGUGCCCUGAGGAAAAAAUGAGUUUGAUGGGUUAUGUUGUUGUUAUCUUGAAUAAGGGUUUAUGAAAAAGUGUUUGUGAUUAGAUGGCACUAAAGUCUAUGGGUGAAGGUGAAAAUUCUAGACAAACAGACCAAGCGUCUUGUGUCCAAAAUAAUCAAAGUAAGGGUAGGAAGGCUCCAUUCUUACUUAUUCUCCGCCACUUAAGACUCGUGGAGCAUAAUACUAAUCGUAGUUUUAUUGUAUUUUUAAAUUUGAUUAAGAAAAUGUCGUUUGACGUUGGAUCAAGGGUUUGUUUAUUUGAUUAUGAAAUUGGGUAAUGCAAUAGGUAUGAAAAGUAACCGACAUGAAAGUAAAGGGUCUCAUUGUAAGGUAGCCCAAGAGAAAGCCUUGUGUGUGAAAAAGUGACCUAAGCUAAACAAAGGAUAAUGGUCUUAUAAAUAUGUCCCCCUAGGAUGGUGCCAUGAUGUCUUUCUUACAACCAGUAUGCAAGUUACAAAUGAAAUCCAAAGUUAACAGAGUAUCACAAAGAUAUGGAAAGGUCCUCCAAGCAAAGGUCCUAAAUGAGAUCCUCUAAGUCUAAUUGAUUAAGGGGAAGGAAUGUUUUUUGGUCAUAUCAUUUUAUCAUGUUUUUGUUGUUUUUAAUGUAUGAUGACAAUAAAGAUAAAUGACGAUAAUAAACAUGCAUGAUGAGUUUACAAUGAUGAUGAUGAUGAGUACUUGAAUAUAAAUUACAAAGUAAUAACAUAAAAGUAAAUAAAAAAGUAAUAAUGACAAUAUUGCAAUAACAGUGGUUAGUGGUAAACAAAAUCAAUAAAGAAAAGUUAGUAUUAAGUAAGAAUAUGUUCAAGUUAAACUCUUGAGGAUUAUUUAUCCUUAGGUCAAAAGAUUUAAAAUAUGGCGCAUCAAGGGAUAACUUAUCACUGAUAUAAAGUAUUGAAGAUGAUCAAAUGAUCAAAUUACAAUAGAUUUAUAACAAUGAAAGUUAUGCAAACCCCAAGUCCAUCUAUCAAUAGCUUGACAAAAGGAAAACUAUGCCAACUCAAGGAUUAAAAGUUAAUGUUUUGAUUAAACGAUUAAGUUAGACUAUAUGAUCAAUAUACAAUAUGAACAAGUUAACAAUAAGGGUUAGUGGGUUAGUGUAGCAGUAAAUGUUUUGAGAUUAAGUUAUUGAUUAACUUAACACGCAAAGCAAGAGCCGCCACCGCACUUUUAUUAUUUCCAAAGGAAAGGGAAAAAGUACGAACCAAACCCAAAGAAGUUUUAAAAUAAAAACUAAUAAAAAGAGAUAGCAUUCUGGGGGUUAGUUAUGCAAAUGGAAGGUAUUAGCACCCUAAACAUCUAUAGUACUCUAUAGGAACCUCUUUGAAAAUAUGUGCAUUUUGCCUUAAAAUGGUGUUGCUUGCAAGUGAUUGGGGAGAUGAGAAAAAAAUGUUUUUUUAAUGAUUUUUGUGUUUGCCAAGACUUUUGGAGUCUCAUGCCUACGUAUUAAUAAAGUGCAAUGGAGGAUCAAAACCUUGUAGUUCGUGGUAAAAAUAACAAAUAUAUUUGUUUUGAUUUGUUUUUAAUGAAAAGACAUUUUGUCAUUUUUAGGAGAACACAUAACUAACCAUCCACAAGUAUGAGAAUUUUACAUCAUCAUAGAGAAGGACUCAAACUUGGAUAAAGAUAAACAAGUAUGCCACUAGAUAUAUUGGAUAGUAAAAGAUUAUCACCAUACUAUGACGAUAUGAGAAUUACAUCUCAACUAUGGAAAUGACUCAUGUUUAAACUUUGAGAAACAUUUUAAAAGGGAAAAAAUGCACAAAGGCCACAAAAAUGAUUUAAAUGAGUUAUGUAUUUUUUAGUCUUUUUGAAAUUGGUCUGAAUAUGCUUAAGAUAUGUUAACAUUUAUUUUAAGAAAGUAUUUUGAAAAUCACUUGACAAAAGUCAAGGUUUAUUGAGAAAGUGGUUCAAGUUUGAAAACAAGAAGCUUUUAUUGCUUUUAUUAUUAUUUUAUUGAGUAGUUGUCUUAAUGAUAUGAUAUAUAUAUAUAUAUAUAUAUAUAUAUAUAUAUAUAUAUAUAUAUAUAUAUAUAUAUAUAUAUAUAUAUAUAUAUUUGAUUUUUUAAAUUUAAUUUAUAUUAAAAUAAUGGUAAUAAUAAGAUUUAAAAAAAUUAAAAAUAAGGAUUUAAUUGGUCCACUUAUAAGAAGAUGAGGAGAGAACCGAGAGUUGAGAAUGUAGGUGAAAGAAUUGGAAAAGGGAGACUUAGGGCAAAAGACAAGGGUAGGAAGAAUAAGAAGAUCACUAUUGUAGAAGAGUUUGUAGCUUAAAACUCUGAGGUAAAAGGGAAACAUUUCCAAUAAGGGUGUCUAAUCAUGAAAGGGUAGUGAAGGGUCAUGACCCUCUUAGGUUGGUCUUAUACCAUAUUAUGAUUUUUUUAAUUUCCACCAUGAUUGUGAGGAAUGGAUUGUAAUUAAUGUGGUUAUAACAAUUGAUAUUUGUUGAUGAUGGAUAUUGAAUUGUUGCUAAAUUGUAUGUUUGUUAUAUGUUAAGGGUUUGUGAUGAUGUUUAUGAUGAUGGUAGGGUAUGAAAUUGUGAAUUUAUUGGUGUGAUUAUAUGAAUAUAGGUAGGGAGUGUUAUUGGUAUGUUUAUGAUUGAGUUUAAAACCAUAGAAUAUUUUUGGUGAUGAUUUCAUGCAUGUUUUAGUGGUUGGAGAAGAUGAAAAUCGUGCUGGAAAUUUCAGAAAAACAUCAACUUUUUUGUAAUGCCUUCGUGCACGGUUUUAAUUAUAACUUUCAACUCAUAAAUCAUUUUGGGAAGGGGUUUAAAGAGUUGGGUAAAUGAAAUAGAAGGAUAUAAAUUUAUAUCAGGAAUAAAAUAUUUUUGGUGAUAAUUUCAUGGACGUUUUGGGGUUGGAGAAGAUGAAAAACAUGCUGGAAAUUUCAGAGAAAUAGUAACUUUUUGGUAACGCCUUUGUGUACAGUUUUGAUCAUAAUUUUCAACUCGUAAAUUAUUUAGGGACAGGGUUUGAAUCGUUGGAUAUUUGAAACAGAGGACUAUAACUUUGUUUCAGGGAUAAAAUAUUUUUAAAGAUUUUAUCAGAGGUCGUUAGCAGGUGGAAAAGAAAUGUAUGAUGUGAUAAAUAUAGACGAGAUCCUUAUUGACAAAUUACUUUAUGUGUUGUGAAUGAUUCGGAGGGUGUGUUUGAUUAUAUUGGUGGUAAUCCAUAAGGGUGGAUUAAGUUAUGCAUGGUUGAAAAUGCGUGAUCGAUUGUGAAUCACUAAAUAUUAUUAUAAUUGUUGUGUUAAUUGCAUUAUUAUCAUGUCAUGCAUUCAUUGUUGAUAUAUUAAAGGAGAUAAGUUAUAGGUUCGAAGGGAGAGGAAAGACUUAUCCGGAACUCAUAAGGGGGAGUUCGGGAUUCUAAAAGGGGAAUCGAGUUUGUAUGAUGAAUCAUUAAUGAGAAUUGGUACCACAUGCAUCGUGUAAUAUUGUCGGGUCUUGCAUUAUAAUCAUGUUGUGCUUUUGCAUUUGUUAUGGUGAGAAUGUGAUUGUGAAUGAAUGUGAUUUAUGUGUAUAAAUACUAAUCUCUUAAUUAUAUUAUAUAAUGUUUAUUAUAUAAAUGUGUUUCUCACCACUUUUGUGUUUGUUGUGUUUGUGCUCCCUCGGAUUACAAACAAUCAGGUACCUGAGUAGUUGGAGAUGUACCUCAUGUUGUCACUGGUCGAGUCUACUAGUGGAGUUGCUUUGAUAUGUAACACCGGAGAAUGGGUUGUUUUCUUUAUGUUAUUUUGUUACGUAUAUUUUAGUUUAAAGUAAUUAUUGAAUCGCUUUUGGUGUGAAUGAUUUGGUUGAGGUUAUGGAUGUCAUACUUUUGUUUAAUUCCGUUGUUUGGGACUAUAUUUUUUAUUAUAUGAAGUAACAUUCAGACUUCUUAGAUUGUGAAGUGACAUCCUACUUUGAUAGAAUUAUUUUUUAAUUAUUAAUUACUGAAUCGAGAAGUAGGGUGUUAUAGAUGGGGAAUGUGUUAUAUCGCUUUUGAAAAAAAAUUACGAAAAAAAAUGAUUUUAGCUUAGGCAAUUUGAUGAAAGGAGAUGAAGCAUAUAUUUAAGCCCAAAAUAGUUAGGAAAUUUCACGUCAGAAUUUAUACUGGUUCAACCUUAAAUCACACAACCUACUUCAGUCUCCCAAGAAUUUCCCCUUGGGACUUUCGCUAUCAACUUGAGCUUUUAUUACAGGAUUAGCCCAAAACCUCCUUACACAAAGCUCUAACUCAGGUUUAGCUUGCAACCUUUAUAUGUGUUGUGCGGGAAAUUGUGAAUUCAACUAUGCAUGUGGGGUUAAUCGACUACACCUACCUAAUUAGGAAAGAAAAUAUCCACAUUCAUAUGCUAAUCGAUUAGAAAAUGACUAAAAUGAUUUUUAAGAAUAUUAGUACCCCUUACGUCCAUGGGGAAGGUAUUAGCACCCCUUACGUCCAUGGUACUUCAUGGGAACCAUUUGGGUUGUUUUACAUACAUGGGAUUUAUCUAUUAUUGUUUUAUUUUCAAAAGAAUGUGUGAAAAAGAAGGGGGUGCUUUUGUUAUUAUACUGCUCGCCAAGGAUUGGGGUCCUUGUGCCUACGUAUUACUCAUUCGGGGAUGAGGAAUCAGAGCUCCGUAGUUCGGAUUAGAAAAUAUUUGUGUGUUGGUUGAUUUUACCAUUGAAAAAAGGGUUUUCGGGAUGAUGCCCUAAGCACAAAAAAGAGUUUGAUGAGUUGUAUUGUUUUUACCUUGAAUAAGGGUUUUAUGAAAGAAUGUUUAUGAUUAUAUUGUACUAAAGUCUAUGGGCGGAGGUGAUUAUUCUAGACAACAAGCCAAGCGUCUUGCGUCCAAAAUAAUCAGAGUAAGGGUAAAAUGUUUAUGAUUAUAUUGUACUAAAGUCUAUGGGCGGAGGUGAUUAUUCUAGACAACAAGCCAAGCGUCUUGCGUCCAAAAUAAUCAGAGUAAGGGUAGGAAUGCUCCAUUCUCACUCAUUCUCCAUCACUUAAGGCUCGUGGCGCACAAUAAUAAUCGUAAUUAUUAAGUGUUUUGAAUUUGAUUAUAAAACUGCCACUUGACGUUGAAUCAAGGGUUUAUUUUAUUUUAAUUAUGAAAUUUGGCUUAUGCAACAUGAAUGCAAGGUAACCAACAAGAAAUUAAAGGGUCUCAUUAUAAGGUAGCCCAAGAGAAAGCCUUUUGUGUGCAAAAGUGACCUAAGCUAAACAAAGGAUAAUGGUCUUACAAACAAGUCCCCCUAAGGUGGUGCCAUGAUGCCAUUCUUAUAACAUGCAUGUAAGUUACGGAUGAAAAUCCAAGUGUUUACAAAGUAUCACAAAGAGUAAAGGAAGGCUUCCAAGCAAAGGUCCUAAGAUGAAAUCCUCUAAGUCCAAGUUUAUAAAGAGUGGAGUGAAUAUGUUUGGUCUUUAUUAUUUUAUCAUGUUUUUGUUAUUUUUAAUGUAUGAUGACAAUAAAAUAAAUAACAAGUAAGUAAACAUGCAUGAUGAGUUUGUACAAUGAUGAUGAUAAUGAGUACUUGAAUGUAAAUUACAAGGUAAUAACAUAAAAGUAAAUCACAAGAUAAAUAAUGACAAUAUCACAAUAAUAAUGGUUAGUGAAUGUAAAUGACACAAAAUAAACCACAAGUUAAUGGUAACAAAAAACCCAAUAACAAAGGUUAAUGAUAAAAAAAGUUAGUGAAGUAUAAUUAGUGGUUAGUAAUAUGUACACAAUGAACAUCUUGAGGACUAUUUUUCAUAGGUCAAAAAGACUCAAAAUAUGAAACAUUAAGGGAUAGCUUAUCAUUGAUGCAAAGUAUUGAAGAUGAUUGAAAAAUCAACUAACAGUAGAUUCGUAACAAAGAAAGUUAUGCAACCCUAAAUCCAUCUAUCAAUAUUAUGAUUUGUUCUCUUUAUUUUUGUUUUUUUACUCCUCUUUUAUUUAGCAAGAUAGUAAGAGAGUAAAUAAAUUAGUAUAAUAUAAAUGAUAUGGUUAGAUAACAAUGAACAUAAACAUAAACAUAAACAUAAAGUACUUGAAAUAAAGUGAACAAUAAAAUAAAUUGCAAGGAAGUAAAGUGCAAUAAUGUAAAUGUAUUUAGUUGUGUGUUGUAGGAUAUACAAUAAGCAAAAUAGAAUAAAAGUUAUGUAAAUAAAAAUGGUUUCAUCUAUGUAUCAAUAACCCAAUAUGGUUGAAAUAGAGGCCACCUAUGAAUGCCUCAAAGUAUCCAUUAAGGAAUUAUGAUUCUCAUUAUAGGUUUGAACAUAUGAGGUUUUAUCAACUCUAAUACCUUGCCAUGUCUAAUAGAAUCUAUAACCAAUAAAUGUGAAACAAUGUCAACAAUAAUAGCAAAUGAUAACAAAUAUCAAAGUUUGAUUAAAAGGGUUGGUAAACCAUUUUCAACACAAACAGAACCAAAAAUUAACAAUAGUUUAAGCUAAAUCAUUACCAAAAAUGUUGAAAAAGGGUAGGUUGAAAUGGUGUUGAGCUUGGAUAUAAAGCAAGGGGUUUGGGAUGAAAGUGUUUAUGGUGGAAGUUUAGUGAAGGAGCUGAGUUAUGAGUGUUAGAGAGUGAGAAGCUUUGAAAUAAAAUAUGAAAGAGGACAAAGAAAAGUUGGUGGGGUGACUUUUCUAAGUGAGAAAGAUUUUUUGUUUUGACUUAGGUUUGGAAAGGAGAGUAAAUGGUACUUGGACAGAAUUUUUGGGGGCUAGGAAGCAUGAAAAAUGAGGGGAAAUAGUACCUCUAUUUAUAGGGAAGCAAAGGGGUUGAAGUGGGUGAACCAAAGGGUCCUCUGUGUAAAAAACAGAGCUAUUUUUGUUGUCUGCGCAAGUGUAAUCGGUUAUCCUGAUUAGGGUAAUCGGUUACACAAUCCCAAAACGGCAAAAAAACAGUUUUUGGUCUGGGUAAUCGGUUACCAUGAUUAGGGUAACCGGUUACCCAAUUUUUUUUUUUUGAAAUAAUGAAUGUAUGCAUGUGUAGUAGGGUCAUGGAUCAGAUGAAAGUUGUAUCGGAUUAGGGUGAAUUUUGGGGUAUGACAGCUGUCCCUAUUUAAUUUUCUCGGACCUGAAUACAUAGAUAGUGACGACUUCCUUACAUAAGUUCCAUUCUCUCCUAAUUUAUGAUUACUCUCAUUGGUCUAAUUCGCCCUGCCGGAGGAUGAUAAUGUGAAUAUUUGUUUAGGGAUUAUGCAUGGUUAUGAUGAUUAUGCAUGCAAUAUGAUGUACGCAUCCUAAGUAUCUUCUUAACGAUGAAAGUUUGAUGUCAAAAGGGCCCAAGAAAGUUGAGGGACGAAAGCUUCACUAGGGAAUGAAAAAAAGAAGGGUGAUCACUCCUAGUCACGACUGGGAAAAAACAAGGCAGUGUUCCUUAACAACGGCUGAAAUACAAAACAUCUAUUAGGGGUCAAACAAAACGAAAUCAGUGACGAUUCUUAGCGAUGGCUAGAAUACCGGACUCGACUGGAGAUAAAAAAAAUUGCGAAGGUGCAGUGAUGAUUCGUAGUGAAGGCUAGAAUACCUGAAAUCCUCCGGGAAGAUCAAACAACUCGGUGAUGAUUCUUAGCAACGGCUAGGAAUACCUGACUCUGCUGAGGAGAAGGAAAAAAUGUGUUGACUUUCUAGGGAUAGAAGAAGUACAAUGAUGUUUCUCAGCAUUGACCCCUCUGGGGAAACUUGAAAAUGAAAUGAAACAGCUUAGUGACGAUUCCCAGCAACGGCUGGAAUGCGUGGUUGGUGCUUGGGAAAUGUUUUGAGGAUGAACAUUAAUUUUUAUUGGGGAAAAUUCCUAACAACGGUUGGAAAAUUCCGAACUCUGACGAGUUAGUUUGAGUAAGUUAAGGAGAUACUCAUGAUGUGAUGUUAUGUAUGCCAAUGCAUGUUUGGGCUUUCAUGGGGAUUAUAUGAAAUGCAGGGUUUGCAAGUUAUGCCAAGCAUGUUUGGGCUUUGCGGAGGAGUAUAUUUGAGGAAUGCCAAUGGUGAUUGGGCUUGAAAAAGGUGAUUGGGUGAAUCGUAUUAACUUUCUGAUACUUGAGAAAUUGGACUUCGACGUCCAAGCAAGCGCUGAAUGUAAUGUUUGAGAAUUUCCAUUGGGGAGAGAAAUGAUCGGCCUAGUCCAAAGAACUGCGUGGCACCCUUGGGUUGGAAAUGUGUUUUGACUACCUUUAGCAAAAUUCUAAAAAGAAUGUAAUUUGAUAUUGUCUCCCUUAUAGUUUUUUUUUAAAAAAAGGUAUUUUAAUCGAAAAUUUCCCAUGUAAUUUUAUUUAGGAAAAGGUCAUAUUUCGCAGACAAAGCAGGAAAAGUAAAAAUAUGGAACACAUGUGAGGGAACUGAUUUUUAUUGACAAGUGAUUCCACAAGUAGGGAAUUUUGUACAAAGGAAAGCAAUUCCUAAAAGAGGUGAUUGCGAAAAGAAAAUGAUAAUUGUAAUGGCAAUGAAACAUCUCGAGUUUCCUCCAAAUUCUAACUCUACUAUAGCCUCUAUGCCUUUGGUCGCCCUUUGAUCUUGCUUUUUUUGAAGGAGGGUGAUAGGAUUGACUUGCUGAGGACCCACAUAAUUGACUUGCCAAGAAAUGAAGAAGGAUUCCUUAUGGGAUGCAGCCUCUUGCUCGUAUUAAAUCCCUAAUUUUUGCCUAAACCUCCCUUUCGGGUUUUCAAUCUACCAGGAUACCCAUUUUUGCAUAAGUUGCCCUUUCGGGUUUUCAACAUAUCGGGCUAUAUAUAUAUAUAUNNNNNNNNNNNNNNNNNNNNNNNNNNNNNNNNNNNNNNNNNNNNNNNNNNNNNNNNNNNNNNNNNNNNNNNNNNNNNNNNNNNNNNNNNNNNNNNNNNNNNNNNNNNNNNNNNNNNNNNNNNNNNNNNNNNNNNNNNNNNNNNNNNNNNNNNNNNNNNNNNNNNNNNNNNNNNNNNNNNNNNNNNNNNNNNNNNNNNNNNNNNNNNNNNNNNNNNNNNNNNNNNNNNNNNNNNNNNNNNNNNNNNNNNNNNNNNNNNNNNNNNNNNNNNNNNNNNNNNNNNNNNNNNNNNNNNNNNNNNNNNNNNNNNNNNNNNNNNNNNNNNNNNNNNNNNNNNNNNNNNNNNNNNNNNNNNNNNNNNNNNNNNNNNNNNNNNNNNNNNNNNNNNNNNNNNNNNNNNNNNNNNNNNNNNNNNNNNNNNNNNNNNNNNNNNNNNNNNNNNNNNNNNNNNNNNNNNNNNNNNNNNNNNNNNNNNNNNNNNNNNNNNNNNNNNNNNNNNNNNNNNNNNNNNNNNNNNNNNNNNNNNNNNNNNNNNNNNNNNNNNNNNNNNNNNNNNNNNNNNNNNNNNNNNNNNNNNNNNNNNNNNNNNNNNNNNNNNNNNNNNNNNNNNNNNNNNNNNNNNNNNNNNNNNNNNNNNNNNNNNNNNNNNNNNNNNNNNNNNNNNNNNNNNNNNNNNNNNNNNNNNNNNNNNNNNNNNNNNNNNNNNNNUAUAUAUAUAUAUAUAUAUAUAUAUAUAUAUAUAUAUAUAUAUAUAUAUAUAUAUAUAUAUAUAUAUAUAUAUAUAUAUAUAUAUAUUUUAAGCAUAGUAUUUUUUUAUUGCAUCCGCAUUCACCGGGGAUGGGAGAUCUUCACCAUCCAUAGUUGUAAGGAUCAAGACUCCUCCGGAGAAGACCUUUCUUACAACAUAUGGACCUUCGUAGUUCGGCGUCCAUUUUCCCCUUGAUCAGUAUGGAUUUGAAGAAUCUUCUUCAAUACGAGGUCUCCGGCCUUUAGGCUGCGGGGGAAAACCUUUUUGACAUGUGCCCUCUUGAUGCGUUUUUGGUAAAGUUGGCCAUGGCAGAUGCUGAUAAGCGCUUCUCAUCAAUGAGGUUUAGUUGGUCAAAUCGAGCUUGUACCCACUCAGACUCAUCAAGCUUAACAUUUGUCAAAAUCCUUAAGGAAGGAAUUUCUACUUUGACCGGUAAGACUGCAUCCAUGCCGUAUAUAAGGGAGAAGGGAGUUACCCUAGUGGAAGUGCGUACGGAAGUACGAUAGCCGUGUAAUGCGAAUGGGAGCAUUUCGUGCCGAUCUUUGUAGGUUUCCACCAUCUUUUGCACGAUCUUCUUGAUGUUUUUGUUAGCUGCCUCAACAACGCCAUUCAUCUUAGGCCUAUAAGGCGAUGAGUUGUGGUGGUCGAUCUUGAAAUUCUGGCAUAGCUCUUUCAUCAUUUUAUUAUUGAGGUUAGACCCAUUAUCAGUAAUGAUCUUGUUGGGGACCCCAUAACGGCAGAUGAUUUCUUUUCUGAGAAAUCGAGUCACCACUUGUCUGGUAACAUUGGCGUACGAGGCUGCUUCUACCCAUUUUGUGAAAUAGUCAAUGGCUACAAGGAUGAAGCGGUGUCCAUUCGAGGCAGUUGGCUAUAUGCGUCCGAUCACGUCAAUGCCCCACAUGGAGAAAGGCCAAGGUGAUGUUAGGACGUUGAGAGGCGUUGGCGACACAUGGAUCUUAUCAGCAUAGAUCUGGCACUUAUGGCAGGUUUGGACGUGGCGAUGACAGUCAAUCUCCAUAGUCAUCUAGUAAUAUCUGUCCCUUAAGAUUUUAUUCACCAUAGUGCUCCCACUGGCAUGCGUCCCAACAGGAUCCUUCAUGAAUUUCAAUUAUAAGCUGGUUUGCUUCUUGCUUGUUCACACAUCUAAGCAAAACAGAAUCAUAAUUUCUCUUGUAUAAUACCCCUCCACUUAAGAAGAAUUUGGAUGACAGAAAAGCUUCUAUGAAGAACAGCCACUAUCUGGCGUCCGCAGGAUACUCUUGGUUCUCUAAGAAUUUCAUGAUGUCAUGGAACCAAGGAUGACCGUCAGCUUCGUCUUCUGCUGCCAGACAGUAAGCAAGUUCGUCCAAGUAGUUCAGGUGAAAGGACAGCGCUUCGUUCUUCCAUUUAACUUUCAACAUGGAUGCCAAAGUUGCCAAAGCGUCAGCUAGCUAAUUCUCUUCUCGAGGGAUGUGGUGGAAUGUAAUUUCAUCGAAGUAGGGGACUAGUUUCAAGACAUGCUCUUUGUAAGGAAUGAGCUUAUGGUCUCUAGUAUCCCAAUCUCCUUUGACUUGGAUGAUUACCAAGGUUGAGUCCCCAUAGACUUUCAGGGUUUUGAUUCUAAGAUCGAUAGUAGCUUCAAUACCAAAGAUACAAGCCUCGUAUUCGGCCAUAUUGUUUAUACAUUCAAAACAUAAUCGGGCGGUGAAGGGGAGGUGGAAAUUAGUUGGAGAAGUGAUUACUACCCCAAUGCCAUUGCCAUGAGCGUUAGAAGCUCCAUCAAAAACCAUGGUCCAUCGGGAUCCAGGCUCGGGUCCUUCCUCGGGACCGGGGAUGUUGCAAUCCCUAAUCAACAUGAUAUCCUCGUCGGGGAAUUCGAAACGCAUAGACUGAUAGUCCUCCAAGGGUUGUUGUGCAAGAUAAUCAGACAAUACACUCCCUUUGAUGGCCUUUUGAGUGACAUGUUGGAUAUCGUACUCGGUCAGAGCCAUUUGCCAUCGGGCUACUCUACCAGUUAGAGUCGGCUUCUCGAAGAUGUAUUUGACAGGAUCCAUCUUAGAGAUCAACAAUGUCGUAUGAGUGAGCAUGUAUUGUCUUAAACGUUUGGCAGCCCAUGCUAGUGCGCAACAAGUCUUUUCAAGCAUCGAAUACCUACUCUCGCAAUCAGUGAACUUCUUGCUCAAAUAGUAUAUUGCAUGCUCUUUUCUACCAGUCUCGUCAUGUUGGCCGAGGACACAACCCAUUGAUCCUUCGAGAACGGUGAGAUACAUGAUUAAUGGUCUACCAGGUACAGGAGGCAUCAACACAGGAGGCUCUUGCAAAUAUUCCUUUAUUUUCUCAAAUGCGUCUUGGCAGUCAUCGUUCCAAAUGAUGGCUUGAUCCUUUCGAAGAAGUUUGAAGAUUGGAUCACAAGUGGCAGUGAGGUGAGAUAUGAACCUAGCAAUGUAGUUCAAUCUACCUAGGAAUCCUCAGACUUCCUUCUCGGUUUUGGGUGCAGGCAUAGCUUGUAUGGCUUUUACUUUCUCGGGAUCUACUUCGAUGCCACGUUGACUGACGAUAAAACCUAACAAUUUGCCGGAUCUUACCCCAAAUGUGCAUUUGUUGGGAUUAAGCCUCAAUUUGAACUUCCUCAGCCUCUCAAACAACUUUUCUAGAUUGAUAAGGUGUUCUUCUUCGGUUUGAGACUUGGCUAUCAUGUCGUCGACGUAGACCUCAAUCUCUUUAUGAAUCAUAUCGUGAAAGAGAGUGACCAUGGCUCGUUGGUAUGUGGCGCCGGCGUUCUUCAAUCCAAAAGGCAUCACCUUGUAGCAGAAGGUGCCCCAUGGUGUUAUGAAAGUGGUUUUCUCCAUAUCUUCUUGAGCCAUGCGGAUCUGGUUAUAACCGGAGAAACCAUCCAUAAAAGAGAAAACAGAGAACUGAGCGGUAUUAUCUACUAGCACGUCAAUGUGUGGCAGUGGAAAGUCAUCUUUGGGACUUGCUCUAUUUAGAUUUCUAUAAUCUAUGCACAUUCGUACUUUGCCAUCCUUCUUAGGUACAGGCACAAUGUUAGCUAUCCAUUGAGGAUAAUUGGAAACCGCUAGGAAGCCAGCGUUGAGCUGCUUUUGUACCUCCUCCUUGAUUUUCAUAGCCAUGUCGGGAUGGGUCCUUCAUCGUUUUUUCUUUACUGGAGGGCAUUCUUCUUUAAGGGGUAGAUGAUGGACUACAAUGUCAGUAUUGAGGUCGGGCAUAUCUUGGUAUGACCAUGCAAACACAUCUUUGUAUUCCUUCAAGAGCUCAAUCAAUUUUGUCUUCACCUCAUCUUGUAGAGUGAAGCCAACUCAGACUUCUUUCGCUUCCUCAUUUGUCCUAAGGUUAAUCACUUCCAUUGAUUCUUCGUGCAGCUGGAUGACUUUUUCCUCCUGCUUGAGCAGCCUUGCCAAUUCUUCUGGGAGUUCGGCCUCUUCCUCACACUCUUCAUCAGCUUGAUUAAUCGGGUUAUCAAAGUCGUAUGGGACUGUAACAGAAUUGUCAUUGGAGGUUGUCGAGGAUGAUCUGCAUGAUUUAAGGUCCACGCUUUUAUUGGUAUGAAAGAAAGGAUGAUUUAAAAAGAAAUUUAAAAAAAAAAAGGAAAAUGCCAUUUAAAAAAGGUGAAAGGAAUAAAUGAAAGGCAAGGAUCUCAAAAUUGAUUGCGAACAUGAACCCUUUUUCAUUAAGGAUUAAUAAGGAAAUUUGAUGAGGUCCUACAAAUGAUUCCCCCAUGCCUUGGGCUUGACAUGGGUUCUUUUGAUAAAAAGGAAAGGAAACAACAUUAGGAAUUACAUUUCAAUCAAGGUCACUUUAGGUAUUUCAAACUCGGUCCAUUUGGUGGCACAAUUUCCAUCAGUCUUUGUGAAGAUCAACCCAUCAUCUUCUUCUUCUUCUUCUUCCACGGCACAAAUACGGUUGUCAUCCAGGUAACCAGCACUUGAGAAGUUUUUGGAUAGCGGGAGCACUGAUCCCCUUGUAGCUAUCGGCGCGGGCUUCUUCAAAUUCUGGGAGUUUUAUCCCAAACCGGUGUGGUCCUUGUUGGCAGGAAGUUCAAGCAAUCUUCCCCAUCCUUGGGGGUGUCCAUCCUUUAUGAUUGUCAGGGCGUCAUUAAGAGAUGCCAUGGGAGAUUCGGCAUCUUUUGAUUCAUCCCUUGCUAGGCAAACCAUUUCAACAUUGAUAACUUCAAAUGAUUGGAAUGGGACUUCCCUUAUCUCCCCUUCUCCUUCAACGUAUCGAAAAGAUGCGAGGUGACUUACCAUAAUGUCCUCCUCACCCUCGACAACAACUAGCUUAUCAUCAGCUAAGAAUUUCAAAUGGGACUUCCCUUAUCUCCCCUUCUCCUUCAACGUAUCGAAAAGAUGCGAGGUGACUUACCAUAAUGUCCUCCUCACCCUCGACAACAACUAGCUUAUCAUCAGCUAAGAAUUUCAAUUUUUGGUGAAGCGUUGAAGUGACUGCACCAGCUGAAUGGAUCCAAGGCCUCCCAAGCAGACAAUUGUAGGCUGGAUAGAUAUCCAUUACGAAGAAAGUGAUGAGGAAAAUAUGGGGACCAAUCUUCAUAGGCAAAUUCACCUCACUGAUUACAGUCCUUCUAGUCCCAUCAAAUGCUCUUAUUAUAAGCUCACUCGGCUUCAUUAUGAGUCCUUCAAUAGUUAGUUUAGCAAAGGAGCUCUUAGGCAUCACAUUGAGGGAAGACCCAGUGUCUACUAAAACUCUUGAUAGGACUGUGUCCACACACUCAAUAGAAAUAUGGAGAGCCUUGUUAUGAUUCCUCCCCUCGGCGGGAAGCUCUUCAUCACUUAAACCCAAGCUUAAGCUAGUGGCGAUAUUGUUAACUACUCCUUCAAACUGACAAACAGAUAUCUCUUGCGGUACGUGAGUUGUCCUCAGAAACUUUACCAAAUCCUCCCUAUGGGCCUCCGAGCACAUUAAUAAAGACAACAUUGAGAUCUUCGAGGGUGUCUGGUUAAGCUGAUCAACUACUCGAUAAUCGCACUUCUUGAUAAUGCGUAAGAACUCGUCUACUUCACUUGAAGGUGCGGGGUCUUGUCUUUGCUAAGCGCCAUCAAUUUUUUUGCCUUUGUCUGAAGUUGAAGGAUUGAUAGUUCCAAUUGGAGUGGGUGUCAGUGCAAAUAUCCUUCCACUUCUCGUGACUCCGCUAGUGCUGGUGAUAUUGAUCAUUGGGUCACUAGACUUCAACGGUUCUUCUUGAAUCUUCUGACCAUGAAUGUAGACUGAGGUGUCAUACAUCCAUGGGACUGCCUUGGUGUCAACAUAUGGGAAUGGUGUGAGAACUGUUAUUAUGAUUGGAGUAACAGGAUUUGUCGACAGAGUUAACUGAGAGAAGUCAUAUGGAAUUUGCAGAGGAGGGACUUCGUCGUAUGGUAUCUCGAGGGUAGACACAUAUUCCUUUGUGGACGGGCAGUCUACCACCAAGAUCCCUUGGUUCAUUAAUUGUUGUAUGACAGACUUCAAUGUUCUACAUUGUUGCGGGUUAAUCAGAUAGUGUUCACAGUCAUUACCACAGAUGGGAAAGACAUUAUUCUUCAUUAAAGCAUUCUUGAUCUCGAUGAGUGGUGUUUUUAACUCGUCCACACAGGACAUCAAUCUCCUUCCAUUGUCAGCUUCCAUCAUAUUCACUGAUGCAUUGUUGUGAGGGGGCACCGGGUUAUUAUUUACAUUCGGCCCCUUGGGGGAGAACGUGAUUGCCUUAGAGUCAAUAAGAUCUUGAAACUUGUACUUUAAUGCUUUACAAUUCUCGAUCGAAUUCCCAGGAGCGCCAGAAUGAAAUUCACAGCGGGCAUUUGCAUCAUAAUCGGGAGGAAGAAUUGCUGGUGGGGGUCCUAACUCCCUUAGUUGUACAAGUGAUCCCCUCAAUAAAUAUGGUAGAAUGUGGCUAUAAGGCAUGGGAACUGGGUCAAAUCUUCUCUCGGGCCUUUGCAUCCUUUGUUGUUGUUGUUGAUAUUGUGGUUGUUGACAUUGCAGUUGUUGUUGAUACCAUUGUUGUUGUUGAGUUUGAACAGGAAUUGCAAAUGGUUGUUGUUGACUCGGUUGGAUGGGAGCUAUGGCAGCUACUUGUGGAUAAGUGGGAUUUCUGGUUCGAAUGAUGGAGGCAGCAUUGGUCUCGCCUUCUCGUUUUUUACCGUAGGGAACAAAAGGUUUCUUCGAUGCACUAGAAGCACUGGAAGAGUUCUGGAUCUUUCCCAUCUUAAUCAUAUUUUCUAUCCUUUCACCGGCUAAGACCAGGUCGGAAAAGCCCGAAGAGGUGCUCCAUACCAUUCUAUCAAGGUAUGGACCUUGCAGGUUUCCCAUAAACAUGUCUACCAGUUCUCUUUCUAGCAAUGGGGGUUGUACCCUAGCAGCUAAUUCCCUCCACCGCUGGGCAUACUUUUUGAAGGACUCCUCAGACCUCUGAGUCAGAUUUUGCAACUGCGUGCGAUUAGGUGCCAUAUCAGUGUUGUACUAAUAGUGCUUGAGGAAUGCCUCGGCCGUUUCCCUCCAGGUGUGAAUAUGGUUGCCCUCGAGUUGCAUGUACCAAUCCAAAGAUGCCCACUGAGGGAACCUUGGAAAAAAUGCAUUAAAAGUUUAUCAUCGCUGGAAUACGCAGCCAUCUUUUGGCAGUAUGCCCUAAUGUGCGUUCUAGGGUCGCUAUUUCCCUUAUAUUUUUCAAAGUCCGGAACUUUGAACUUGGCCAGAAUGAUGACCCCAGGUACUAAGCACAUUUCUGCCGCAUUAAGGCCCAAAAUGUCAGUGCUCCCCAUUGCUUUGAGCUUUUCCUCGAUAGCCUUUACCUUCCUCUCGACCUUGUUGGUUACCGAACCGAAGGCGUCAUCCUGAGAAGCAUCCUUUGGGUUGAAGAAUGCAUCGAGUUGGUCAUCUGUCUCAAAAAUAUGAGGACGAGGAUUAUCAUUUGGAACACCGCCGGGUGCAUUAAUGUUAAUUGGAGGAUCAACUUGAGGAACUGGAGUCGGAAUCUCGACCGCUAGAGGGGUAGGAGGAUUGGUAGUACUGGCACGUUGGUUCAUUUCUUCUUGCAUUUUUGCCAUAACCUCUUGGCCUCUUGCGAUUGCUUGAAUAGUCUCCAUCAACUGCCAUAUUUGGGACCGUAUUUGGGAUACUUAUUCCUGAAGGACAACUUGAUUCUCUUGAAGUUGCUCCAUGACAGCUUGUCGGCGUCCUCGUGUAUCGUACCGAAAAGUCAGCUUUGGAGAGUGGUUUUGGAAGGAAAAAAGGGGUGGAUGGAUGAGUUUUUUAUGUUUUUGUGUUUCGAAAGAUGCAUAUGAUGCAUAAAAAAAUUGUGUUAAAGCAAAGCUCUUUUUAGUUAUUCAUGUUUAUUCAUUGCAAAAACUACUUGACGAUUCACGUUCACAAUCAUGAAUAAAGGAAAACACAAUAGAGAAAAAUCACAACUUUCAUUCAUCCACUACUUGACGAUUCACGUUCACAAUCAUGAAUAAAGGAAAACACAAUAGAGAAAAAUCACAACUUUCAUUCAUCCUUUGAAGGGAAAAUAGACAGCAAUACAUAGAAGUUGCAAAAUACAAGUAAUGAAAGCAAAUAAACCAACUAGAUAUCCACCCUAAAAGUGACCCCUUGAGACUUGCGGAGAGCCUCAAUAUCGGUGAUGAGUUCGGCCAUUGUUCUUUUGCAGAACUUGACGAAGUGGUAGACCUCCUUGGGGGAAUUAUCUGGACACAUGAUCAGAUUUGCCUCCUUCAACUUGUCGGGAAAGUCUUGAAGGGCAUAGUUGGUUAAUACUGUCAUGUUGGUGUACUUGUCCCUCCAUUCUUCGUAAAGGGCUCCUUCCCUUAUGGAUGAUUUCGUCCCUUUGAACAAUGGCAACUUCGAAUCCAUGGCAACACUCCUUCCAAUGUCUGUAGUUGUUUUGCAAUUCUACAUAGGCUUGGUCAUAGAUUCCCCUCUUCAAGUUCUUGAUUUGCUCGCAAGCUCGUCCAAGGUUGAACUGCUCACGCAUGAAGCUUCGGUGAAUCUUUUCUUUCUCUAGUUGCUCCUGUGCUAGACAAAUCUUAUACUCUUUGAGUGUCCUUAGUCGAGAAUCUGGGCCUCGUAAUCUUCCCUCGCUUCUUUCUUCAUGGCAUUAGACCUCUCGACAGUAUUUUCAAGGUCCUUGAUGAUUCGGGAUGCUCGAUCCAACUCCUCGUUGCGGAAGUCUAACUUAGAAUUAGCUCCUUGUAAAGCUCCACCAACCCAAACUCUUUGUCCCUCGGCUAAUCGGAGCCUUUUCUUGCUAUCUUCAAAUUUUUCACAGACUUGCUUACCCUUAUCCUCCAAAACGUGGUUACGUUCCUUGGCGCGAUUGAGUUCGCCUCAUAGUUGAGUGUUUUCCAACUCGAGCUCUUUGAUUUGGCUGGUAAGUUUUUCUAUGUCCUCUUGUAGGAUAGGCUCGGGCUCGGGCAUCAACGGGAAUGAAGAAGGAUCAAAUAGAAACGGCAUCUUAACCACCCUAGCCCUCUCUUUUACCCACACAUAGUAGGGUUCCUUGGCUAGGAUAUUUUUCUUGCCUCAUUCAUGGUCAAUAGGGAAUAUGCUUGUCCAAGCUUUUCUCACUCUUUUCACGUUUGAAUCAAGCAGAUCCAUGGUAUUGAUGACAAAUGGAAUGAAAUCUCUUUCCUCGGGGGGACUUGUCAUGGUGUACCCUAGUUGUCUCUUGAGUAUAGCAGGGCUGUAGUUGAUGCAACCUUGUGUUCCUAUCAAGGGUACGUUAGAGAACUCUCCACAUCUUGCGAUGACAUCCUUUAUAUCCCAUUCCCUCUUAUACCAUAGAAUUGAGUUGGCAGAGAGAUAUGCAAACCUUUGCGGCCAUGCCAGUUUGUUUUCGACGAAGGGUCCAUUUUGAGGCAUGCGGGCCCUCAUCCAAAGAUGUAGCAUAGGAUCGCAAUAAAGGAAAGUGCCUCCCUUCUUCUCAUGUCUUGCAUGGAAGGUAUGGUAGAAAUCGGCAAGUAAAAAAGGCACCGGAUUCUUUGUUAAAAAGACUUCAACUACUAAUUGAUCCACGAACUUGUCCAGAUUUGGGAAGAGGACAAUUCCAUGAAUCAAAAGUGCCAAGGUUGCACUACAAAAGUCGGGUCUUCCUUCUUUAAUCAUUUACCAAGCAUGGGCUCCUAGUUGUCUCUUGAGUAUAGCAGGGUUGUAAUUGAUACAACCUUGUGUUCCUAUCAAGGGUACGUUAGAGAACUCUCCACAUCUUGCGAUGACAUCCUUUAUAUCCCAUUCCCUCUUAUACCAUAGAAUUGAGUUGGCAGAGAGAGAUGCGAACCUUUGUGGCCAUGUCAGUUUGUUUUCGGCAAAGGGUCCAUUUUGAGGCAUACGGGCCCUCAUCCAAAGAUGUAGCAUAGGAGCUCAACAAAGGAAAGUACCUCCCUUCUUCUCAUGUCUUGUAUGGAAGGUAUGGUAGAAAUCGGCAAGUAAAAAAGGCACCGGAAUCUUUUUUAAAAAGACUUCAACUACUAAUUGAUCCACGAACUUGUCCAGAUUUGGGAAGAGGACAAUUCCAUCAAUCAAAAGUGCCAAGGUUGCACUACAAAAGUCGGGUCUUCCUUCUUUGAUCAUUUCCCAAGCAUGGGCUUCUAGGAACUUUUAAGUUAAACCUUUGAGGGAUCCUUUAACGCCCCAAUUGUCUACUAGCUUGUUGGUGUUGAUACCCAAGGUGAGCGAGAGCUCGGUCAAACAGAAUCCUUCUUCCAAUUUCGGGAAAGGGUUGUAUUCCUUGAUUGGUCAAUUGAGGAGUCUCUCGAGGUCUUCCAAGGUUGGAGAGAUUUGGAAGUCGGUGAAAGUGAAGCAUCUUAAAGGGACAUCAUAGUAUUGGGACAUUGUAGUGAUAGCACAAUAGUCAACCUUCUCGGUUAGAAGAUCUAUGAUGUUUCCAAAAUUGGCUCUAAACUUGUUGUCUUUGAGAGCUAUGACCUUUGAACAGAGGACCUUUAGUGACCUGAUGUCGGGACUCUUGAAGCAGAAAGAAGAAGUGAUUUUCCUUGUUGAAGUAUCCAUGAUUGUGUCGGAAAAUAGUCUUGUAAUUAUGCAUCUGAACAAACGAAAAUUUUAAGAGCUUUGCUUAUUAUUUUAAUGAUGAAUGAAUGUAUGAAUGAAUGAUUGGUUUAUUAUUUCCACUGGAUUUUAGGCAUGGGUUCAUGGUUUUGGACCAUCGUGACGAAGCAUGGAGUUAAUAAUGACUGCUUAGUAAACCAAGGUUCUCGCUUUGUAUGAUCUAAGGAUUUUGGAAAAUUGGGAGUAAGACACUGCCCCUAGAGUCAUGGACUUCCUUGACUGUCAGCCGCUUAUGUCAAUUUACUUGCCAGGCGACUGCUCCAUCAAAGUCAUCUACUCUAAGUGAGAUCUUCGUAUCGACCCUUACGAGGACAGCCGCUUAUGUCAAUUUACUUGCCAGGCGACUGCUCCAUCAAAGUCAUCUACUCUAAGUGAGAUCUUCGUAUCGACCCUUACGAGGAAGGCACCUCGGUGGCCUAUACUACGCGACCAUCGGUCUUGGCUAGCCAUAGUUUUAAAGGUUCUAAAAAGGGUCUUAGGGUCAUUGACUCUAAUAAAAGAAAAGAUGCUUACGCCGAAAGCACGACGGUCAUCAAUCCCCUUAAAAGAAUCUACCACUAAGUGAGGUUCUCGUACGACCCUAACGAGGAAGGCACCUCGCGGAUCAAUAUUACUCAACCUCUCCUAUCUCAAGCAAACUCUCAGACUCGGGUGGGGAGUCCUUCACACAAGGUUUUUUCCUUUGCAAUCAUUAUUGCUUCCAAAAAAUUCUUCGUCACAGAGUCAGGGUUUCGGACCAACAGGUAAACAAAGAAAAUAUGCACGGGUUAGCAAAGAAAGUAAUAUAUACAGAAAAAUAGAUAACAGAUAAAUCUCCACGUACGUAAAAGAGGAAACAACCCAAACUAGGCUAGACUUGCUUAGGGAAUUUUUUCCUUUUCCCCAGCAGAGUCGCCACCUGUCGCUACCGGGAUUUCACGAUAACGAAACCGGGACUAAAGAGAAUGCCAAAAAGAGGAAAAGUCAGAAGAGUCGCCACCAAAUUUUAUUUAGUUUACCUCUAUCAUAGAGGAGAGGGGAAAUAAUCGAUAAAACCCUCGGAAGAGAGACGCGCACGGGAAGCGCUAAAAGAGAAUAAGGAAUCGGUCUCGCAACCGAGAUUUGGGUUCGGAAGUAGGUUACGUAAGGGGAAGGUAUUAGCACCCCUUACGUCCAUGGUACUCCAUGGGAACCAUUUGGUUUGUUUUACAUGGGAUUUAUCUAUUAUUGUUUUAUUUUCAAAAGAAUGUGUGAAAAAGAAAGGGGUGCUUUUGUUAUUAUAGUGCUCGCCAAGGAUUGGGGUCCUUGUGCCUAUGUAUCACUCAUUCGGGGAUAUGGAAUCAGAGCUCCGUAGUUCGGAGUAAAAAAUAUUUGUGUGUUGGUUGAUUUUACCUUUGAAAAAAGGGUUUUCGGGAUGAUACCCAAAGGCACAAAAAAGAGUUUGAUGAGUUGUACUGUUUUUACCUUGAAAAAGGGUUUUAUGAAAGAAUGUUUGUGAUAAUAUUAUACUAAAGUCUAUGGGUGAAGGUGAUUAUUCUAGACAACAAGUCAAGCGUCUUGCAUCCAAAAUAAUCAGAGUAAGGAUAGGAAUGCUCCAUUCUCACUUAUUCUCCACCACUUAAGGCUCGUGGCACACAAUAAUAAUCGUAAUUAUUAAGUGUUUUGAAUCUGAUUAUAAAAAUGCCACUUGAUGUUGAAUUAAGGGUUUAUUUUAUUUUGAUUAUGAAAUUUGGCUUAUGCAACAUGAAUGUAAGGUAACAAACAAGAAAUUAAAGGGUCUCAUUGUAAGGUAGCCCAAGAGAAAGCCUUUUGUGUGCAAAAGUGACCUAAGUUAAACAAAGGAUAAUGGUCUUACAAACAUGUCCCCCUAAGGUGGUACCAUGAUGCCAUUCUUACAACAUGCAUGUAAGUUACGGAUGAAAAUCCAAGUGUUUACAAAGUAUCACAAAGAGUAAAGGAAGGCUUCCAAGCAAAUGUCCUAAGAUGAAAUCCUCUAAGUCCAAGUUGAUUAAGAGUGGAGUGAAUAUUUUUGGUCUUUAUCAUUUUAUCGUGUUUUUGUUAUUUUUAAUGUAUGAUGACAAUAAAAUAAAUAACAAGUAAAUAAACAUGCAUGAUGAAUUUGUACAAUGAUGAUGAUAAUGAGUACUUGAAUGUAAAUUACAAGGUAAUAACAUAAAAGAUGUAUGAUGACAAUAAAAUAAAUAACAAGUAAAUAAACAUGCAUGAUGAAUUUGUACAAUGAUGAUGAUAAUGAGUACUUGAAUGUAAAUUACAAGGUAAUAACAUAAAAGUAAAUCACAAGAUAAAUAAUGACAAUAUCACAAUAAUAAUGGUUAGUGAAUGUAAAUGACACAAAAUAAACCACAAGUUAAUGGUAACAAAAAACACAAUAACAAAGGUUAAUGAUAAAAAAAGUUAGUGAAGUAUAAUUAGUGGUUUGUAAUAUGUACACAAUGAACAUCUUGAGGACUAUUUUCCAUAGGUCAAAAAGACUCAAAAUAUGACACAUUAAGGGAUAUCUUAUCAUUGAUGCAAAGUAUUAAACAUGAUUGAAAAAAAUCAACUAACAAUAGAUUUGUAACAAAGAAAGUUAUGCAACCCUAAGUCCAUCUAUCAAUAUUAUGAUUUGUUCUAUUUAUUUUUGUUUUUCUACUCCUCUUUUAUUUAGCAAGAUAGUAAGAGAGUAAAUAAAUUAGUAUAAUGUAAAUGAUAUGGUUAGAUAACAAUGAACAUAAACAUAAACAUAAACAUAAACAUAAACAUAAAGUAAUUGAAAUAAAGUGAACAAUAAAAUAAAUUGCAAGGAAGUAAAGUGCAAUGAUGUAAAUGUUAGGAGUUAGUAGUUAGUGGUUAGUAGAAUAACAAUAAGCAAAUAGAAUAACAAGUUAAUGUAAAGAAAAUGGUUUCAUCUAUGUAUCAAAUAACCCAAAUAUGGUUGAAAUAGAGGCAACCUAUCAAUGCCUCAAAGUAUCAUGAAGGAUCUAUUGAUCAAUCAUUAAUAGGUUUGAAACAUUGAAGGUUUUAUCAACUCUAAACAACCAUGGACAUGAUCUAAUAGAUCUCAUCAACCAAAUAAAUAUAAAAACAAGUCAACAAUAAAUAGCAAAUGAAACAAAAUACGAAGUUUGAUUAAAGAUGGUAAACAACCAUUUUCAACACAAAAACAGAACCCAAAAAUUAACAAAGUUUAAGCUAAAAUCAUUACCCAUUUUUACAACUUUUUCCCAUCCAACUUUACCACAACUCGAUGGAUAUAAAGCAAGGGGUUUGGGAUGAAAGUGUUUAUGGUGGAAGUUUAGUGAAGGAGCUGAGUUAUGAGUGUUAGAGAGUGAGAAACUUUGAAAAAAAUAUGAAAGAGGACAAAGAAAAGUUGGUGGGGUGACUUUUCUAAGUGAGAAAGAUUUUUUGUUUUGACUUAGGUUUGGAGAGGAGAGUAAAUGGUACUUGGACAGAACUUUUGGGGGCUAGGAAGCAUGAAAAAUGAGGGGAAAUAGUACCUCUAUUUAUAGGGAAGCAAAGGGGUUUAACUGGGUGAACCAAAGGGUCCUUUGUGUAAAAAACAGAGUUAUUUUUGUUGUUUGCGCAGGUGUAAUCGGUUACCCUGAUUAGGGUAAUCGGUUACACAGUCCCAAAACGGCCAAAAAAUCAGUUUUUGGUCUGGGUAAUCGGUUACCAUGAUUAGGGUAACCGGUUACCCAAAUUUAUUUAUUUUUUGAAAUAAUGAAUGUAUGCAUGUGUAGUAGGGUCAUGGAUCAGAUGAAAGUUGUAUCGGAGUAGGGUGAAUUUUGGGGUAUGACACUCAUGUUAUCACUGGUCGAGUCUACUAGUGGAAUUGCUUUGAUAUGUAUCAUCGGAAAAUGGGUUAUUUUCUUUAUGUUAUUUUGUUACGUAUAUUUUAAUUUAAAGUAAUUAUUGAACCGCUUUUGGUGUGGAUGAUUUGGUUGAGGCUAUGGAUGCCAUACUUUUGUUUAAUUUCGUUGUUUGGACUAUAUUUUUUAUUAGAUUAAGUAACAUUCAGACUUCUUAGAUUGUGAAGUGACAUCCUACUUGGAUAGAAUUAUAUUAUAUUUAUUAAUUAUUGAGUCGGGAAGUAGGGUGUUAUAGAGGGGGAAUGUGUUAUAUCGUUUUUCAAAAAAAAUUACGAAAAAAAUGAUUUUAGUUUGAUGAAAGGAGAUUAAGCAUAUAUUUAAGCCCAAAAGAGUUAGGAAAUUUCAUGCCAGAAUUUAUACUAGUUCAACCUUAAAUCACACAUCCUACUUCAGUCUCCCAAGAAUUUCCCCUUGGGACUUUCACUAUCAACUGGAGCUUUUAUUACAGGAUUAGCCCAAAACCUCCUUUCACAAAGCUCUAACUCAGGUUUAGCUUGCAACCUUUAUAUGUGUUAUGCAGGAAAUUGUGAAUUCAACUAUGCAUGUAGGGUUAAUCGAUUACACCUACCUAAUUAGGAAAGAAAAUAUCCACAUUCAUAGUCUAAUCGAUUAGAAAAUGACUAAAAUGAUUUUUAAGAAUAAUUUGAAAAAGAUGAGGUUUGUAAAAUCAUUUUAAGAGUGAGUGUGCAUUGCUUUAGUACCUUGAGAUAUACUCAUACUUAAUUAUAAACUAUUGAUCCUAAACAGAUAAAAAAUACUAAGGAACAUGAUUAGGUAAGCUUUCAAAGACUUUAGUUCCUUUGAUAAUAGUGAUCUUAUCAUUUGAAUUUCUUUGCUCUAAAGACCAUAACCUUCUUAGUUUUACUUUUUAAUAAACUUCAAUCUUCUUCUUCCUUGAUGAUGCUGAUGAUAAUUUUAUUUAAUCUUUUGUCAUUAUCAAAACCACAUUUGAAAUAAAAAUUAUUGUAUAACACAUAGAACCACAAAGAAGACACUCACAACAUGCAUGGUCACUAGGGCCAAUGCAAAAGAUCUUAAAACCUCUCAUGUUGGUCCAACUAUAUGGAUGGAUCUAUGAAUAAGCAAAGUUGAUUUCUUUCAUAAUGUUUGCAUCAAAGGUGUUAAAUGGAUUCACGCCUUCUAAAUAAGUUAUAAGAUCCCAUAUACAUAUAGAAGUACUCAUGAUCAUCUUCUUGAGGGUGUCUGGUGCAUGCCUUGUCGCCUUUCAUGCAAGGCUAUAAUAUGACGUGAUCUUCAUUCUAGAUGGAUGAUAUGAAUAAAUCUUCGGGGAAUACAUUUAUCAUUGAUUCACUAUUGAAAAAGAUCCAAUGCCUACAACUUCAUAGUAGAAGACAGCCAAGCACAUGUGUGAAGUUUCCAUCAGUGGUCCUUCCAGUCCUAGAUGAAAAAAGACACAAAAUAAUGUCACUAUGUAUGAUCUCAUUGCUAUUAAAGUUACUAUAACUACUAUCAUAACUCCCAAACAUCGAUAUUUUGACAAAUCGCCAAUUCAAUUUUCCAUCGGCUCCCCUCGAAGUCUCACAAUAAUGGUGCAACAAAUCACAUUUCCCCUCGUGGGUAUCAUGCUUAACUACAUUAUCAUUAGUCCCUAAGAAAUAUCAUCUUUUAGGCUUCAUGAGAAUGGGAAGAGAACCAAUGUCGUAGGAACUAUCAUAAGAGGAAGAUACAAAAUUGCUUUGUAAAAUGAUUACGGGACUAAGGUGUGAUGAAAAUGGAAAUACAUCACGUGACACCCUAAAACCCAAAUUAUUUUCUAUAAAACAUAAUUUUGCGGAACAUUUAUGUAAUACGAUAAACAGGGAAUCACAUUAACUCAAAAUAACGUCACAAAUAUCAUAUAUAUAUAUAUAUAUAAGUAGUUGUUCAAACAUUAAAUCAAACAUAGAAAUAUUAAAAAUGAAUCUCGACCCUAUGUCACAAUGCCAGAGCCCUAUUACAAACUCAAACAUACCAAAUGACUUAAUAGUUCAACACACAUUAACACAAAAGAAACUAACAAAUUAGUUUUCUACACCAUCUGCAAUAUCCUUGCAGCAGCGCAACUAUUCAUAUGUCUCAAUAUGAGGAUAUCCUACAUAUAAGUUCAAACCAUAGGGACAUAGAAAAUAAAGGGGUGAGAAUACAUUCUACAAGUUAUAAGGUAUAAUAACAGCAAAAGGGCAUCAUCAAUCACAACAUACUACAUUUACACAAUCGUACAAUAUUAUAAGAAUUGUACUGCAUUACGCAAUAUACAAUGAAUGCUUAUGCAAUGCACUUUAUCCUUUACUCCAUAUGCAUGUGGUACCAAUCACCAAACUCAUGGCUUAUUCUGGAAGGAUAUGCGGGAUACCUUGCGUACCACAAUAUUCUUCCUGAAUUCUAUAGUUUAGAAGUACAUGUGAGCUAUGUUCCGUACUACAACACUCUCUCUAGACAUCUAGACAUCUGUAGACUUUUAACAAUAUAUGAGUACAUAUGAGUUAUGUAUACACUACAACACUCUCACUAAACUCUAAUAUAGGAGGACAUGUGAGCUACAUCCAUACUACAACAAUCUCUUCAAGGGUCCGUAGACUCUAAAAUGUCAAAAAGUACAUGUGAGCGACGUCCGUGCUAUGACACUCUCUCUAGACACAAACCUAUUAUGACUCUAGUAUGGUGCAUGAUAAUCAUACAUACGUGAAUUCCUCUCAAACCUCCUCAUUCACCUUGAUUACCACAUUAGGAUUUUCACUAGAUUUUAUCACACAUUCACUUUGAUUUCUGCAUUAUGGCUUCAAAAUGGUUUUAUCAAACCUUAAACUUAAUUGCGACAUUAGAUCUUCACAAUAAUUUUACCUAAUGUUGGACUCAUGUUCUAAGGUUUACCUCGCAAUCAUUAAUCAUUCAAAGUGUUAUUCAUGCAUAUAGGCAUCAUGAGACUCUGCCACAAGAUAGGUAUUUGCAUUAGUUUUCUAAAGCAUCUGGUUGUGUCUCCAUGUAACUGCAUAACCGAUUACACUAUUGUUUCGUUUGAAUUUUUACGGUUGUUAAUGGGUGGAAAUUGAUUGCACAGUCAAUUGAACUAUGCAAAUUUUCACUUUUCGCAACAGUAAACAUGUAUACUCUUAAUCCAACCUCGACAAAAGGGGCAAGAAAUUAUAGAAUACAACACACCAGAGCAUUAUUUAAACAUAACUUUUAACACAAAAAUUAAUCCAUAUUAAUACACCUUCAUCAAUGUAAACAUGGAUUCAACAAUUAUUAUACACAUAAUCAUGACAAUUAUACACAUAAUCAUGAGCAAACAUACUAAUUCACACAAACACCCUCUAUCGUUUAAUAACCAAAUCUCAAAUUUAAGAUUCAAAAUAAAUCGUCUCAUAGGAAAAUUCUUAUAGGAAUUAAAAUGAAUUUAGGGUUGAAGUAAAUGAAACCUACGGAGUAAAUGAACAGUAUAAUUCGUCCAUUUGUUAAAUACAAAUUUGUCCUCUUUUUUUUUAAGUAUAAUUGAUUUGACCAGGUAAAGGUAUGUUUAGAAAAGGGAACAGAUAUAUUAUUUUCUUAUCUUAGUUAUAGAGUUGAUAAUGGCCCCAAUUUAACACGUUCAAGUUAUUUCAAACAAAAACUAUCCAUAACCAAUUUCAUAAAAUUUAAAAAAAAAAGACAUUACCAGUUUUUAAGAAUCAGUUACAACCAAAAGAUCCGUUUCAAUUUCAAUUCUUCUCAGAGACAACCAAAAAAAUUCUUCAUCAGACAUACAGCUACAGCAAAACUUCAACCUCGCCGUAUCUCAGUUGAGAGAAGAAACAAUGAGUCUCUAACCAAGCUGAAGAUUUAGAAAAACGAAAGUUUGAUGCUGAUGAAAAUCUCAGAUCUGGAAAAACAACAAACAAAGCUCAAGAACCAUAAAAAUGAAAGAAACCAUUGGACGGCUGACGGCAAUGAUUGCAGUUAUAAAAAGAACAAAGGGAGGAUGCAAAAUGUUUGAUGGAUAUAAAAUUCUAAUUUGAAAUACAACACUUCGAGCUCAAAACACCAUAUCAUGUCGUAUACGACAAUGAGAUAUUAUCUUUUGUUAUGAAAAGAUGGGAAAACUGGUCUGUUGAAACAGUGUUAAAACCGGUUUGAAACUGGUUUAUGCGAAUAAACUGGUUUAUUUUGAAAACUGAUUUUAAAAUCGGUUCAGAGCUAAACUGAUCCAAAUAUGUGUAGUUCAGUUUUGUUUGGUUUAUGCCACUUGCACACCCACGCAUGGCUAUGAAGAUCAGAAACAUAAACAAGAUCAGAAACAUAAACAGGCAGGCACAAUAUAUUUUAUAUGAUGGAAGAAAAAAAAAAUGGAAAUCAAAAUUCAGCUAUGCUCUCAUUCUGUCUCCAACUCAUCCCUUGCUUUGAUGUCAAGCAAUGACAAAAGUUAAGUUCGCCGUUUUAGUUAUAUUUCUAUCGGGUUCUAUUUUCACUUUCUCCAUAGUUUAUUAUUUAAACUCACGUAAGCCAAUUGCACUAAAUAGUAAAUCCAACAUCAUAUGCCAAAGGAGGUAAAUAUUAACCGGAUAACAUUGUCCUCAUGUAAACAAACACAAACUGCAGCUAAUAGUUCUAGGUUCAUAAUGAUAUCCAGAAAAAGAUUAAAAGCAAGUUACGUAACAAUGCAUGGUGGUGAGACACAACUAGCACAAACUACUGAAUCAAGGGACAUAGCGAACAAGUAUGAAAACUAAUAAGGAGCAGU
rnacentral:lncRNA from 1 species